ensembl:lncRNA
CACCCUCUGAAGACACACUAAUGCACAUUUACUCUCUCUCACUUUGGCUCUCAGUGCCUCUGUCCAGACUGCUGCUUCAGACCUCACCGCCCCUUUCCAUUCAAACCAACUUUAUGCCACACUUCUGAGCGUGCGAGCCAGCAUUUCAUCCACAGCCUGCUGUACUUUCAGGAGCCUCUUAAUUUGUUAAAGUUUUAGUUGGAGAAAAGUGACCAACGGUGGCCAUGAUGAGGAUCAUACUGCUGCUGCUGGUCACCCUGGCGGGGCCUUUUUGUACCUUUACCCAAGCAAGUACUCUGGUGGUGCCAACAGCUGUUGAUGCAACUACAGAACCAAAUCUUGUAGCAGAUCUGCCUGAUUUCACUGCCAAAACAGAGGAACCAGCUCCUCAAGAUGCUGUCUCAACGCCAGCGCCUGCUCCUGAGGCUACAGAAGCAGUUGCCUCAACACAAGAAGUGCCAGUGGUUUCCACAGCAGCACCAGUGAUACAAUCAGAAGCCCCAUUAGAAACAACAGCCCCAACAGAUACAGCACAAUCAACAGAAGCUGGACCUAAAGAGAUGGCCAGCCCUGAAGCCUCUACUGUCACUGAAGAGGCAAGAGCAGAAACUGGGAAAGCUGAAGAAACCGUAUCAGAGACUCCAAAUGUAGAUGUGGAGGGUGAAGGUAUGGGCACAGGACAGUUGGUGGGGAUCGUAAUCGGCGCUUUGAUCGCAGUGAUUGUUGUCAUUGCUGUAAUCAUCUUGGUGGUCAGAAGAAAGGGCCAAUACUCCCCCUGAAAAGAAAGGCACGACAAGAAGAGAAGAAGAAGAAAUUCGGGAAGUUCUGAUGUUAAAAACAAUGCAAGCUGCACUCUCACCAUCCAUCCAGGACUUACACGGGGAGCAGGAGAGUGUCCCAUCCCCUUUCCCAUUGAAAAGAUGCCACUCCCCAUUUUUUGGUCCCCCUAAAAUCCUCAUUUAUCUCUCAACAGUGGGAGGCCACAGGAAGUUACGGUGUCUUUUUUUAAUGCAUAUUAAUGUAACAGGAGAUGAAUGAAUGUGGAGUUUGUGAAGGGCCUAAUAAACAAAAACAAAGAAACAGCUGCCCAUGCAAGCAAAAGCUUGUAUUUUUUUAUUCCACUGAGUAUUAAUAACAUACAGAAAAAAAAAACUACUCCACAAUCAUUAACUUUCUCAAUUUCUCUUUUUCCCCUUCUACAGAUGUGUCCAACAGGACUAUGACGCAUUAUGUACAGUCUAUGAACUGUCAUAAGCAGAUGCUGAGGACACAUUCUGUUCUCAAGAUGUGUAAGCGGCAUUAACUAAUAACAUUUUUUAAAUUAUUAGUUAAGGGGAGCAGCACACAAUAAGUGCUUGAGAUUUACUAUUUUGAAGUGCAUUAAUAUGGAGUGACUAGACCAUGCUGUUCUUAAAUGUCACCCAUUCCAAAAGUUACAUCACUUCCUCUGGAACACAAUCAGCUUUGCUCCAGCGCACAGCUGCUAUUGGCAUGUAUCUCUAAAAUCCUGAUGUUCCUCAGCCUGUACUAUAUCAUUUUAACAGCAUACAGACAUUUUGCAUGGUAUAGUUGUUUGCGUUUCUUUUUGUCAGUGUUGGGGUUUGUGUUUCUUACUGACGUUCGGGAGCGUUGCUAUCCUGGACUUUGCUUUAAGAGAUCAGUAUUAGGUGCACUGAAUGAUGAAGAAUAAAUGUUUAAUAUUUAGACGACACUGCAACUGUUUGCAACGAUAUUUUGUGUUUUUUCUUGCCAGAUUCCUCUUUAUAUCCCGUUACUCCAUGAUCGCAUUUUCCCAUUUGAUGUCAGAAUCCAGUUAAAGCCGAGUGUUUGUCUUUUGUAUUUUGGGGGUGGCGUUUUGUUUUUCUUAUUGUUCAAUCAGUUUAAAUAAAAAAGUUCUAAAGUAUGUUGUACUUCCAUAUUGUGUUGUUGUGGAUCCCAGAUAACGUUUUCUGUUUAUCUGUUUAUCCAGCUUUUCACACACAUUUACGCUCAUGCACUGUCUCUUUCUCACACAAACACACACCCACACAUCUGUCUCUCUAGUCCCUUAGGUUAUAAAGACUGUAAAAGACAAGGGAGAGAGAGGAAGAGCCAAUGAAUAAAGGCAUCUUUGUAAAUAUGACUAUGUACUCAAGUGACCUCUCUGGUUAAGUAGAGUAAAUAACAUGAGAGUCCCAAACAGCUGAACCCCCAAAACGUAUUUGGACAUUUGGACUUUCAUUUGGAAGUGGAUCGCAACAAAGUGUUUUCUUUCCAUACAUUUUUCAAGUAUCUGUACUUUAUCAGAUUAUUUUGAUUUUUGGCCUUCUCAUUACUUUUCCGUUUCAGAUUCCAAAUGUUUUACUUCACUAAUAAUGCACACAUGUUUUUAUUAAAGUCAGCAUGAAAUGAAAACUCAUCUAUUUUGUAAACAUAUGUUGUACUGUAGAUCUUAUUGUUAGCAUUUAUCCAUGUUUAAUUGUAUUUUUUUACCUUGUAAUGUUUAAUUAAAAUGGCAUAUCUCAAGCUUCCUGUGAAAACACAUUGUAAGCCUAAGUAGAUGGUAGAAACCAUUGGCAC